rnacentral:rRNA from 1 species
UAAGACGUAGGAUGCGAGCGUUGUCCGGAUUUAUUGGGCGUAAAGAGUUCGUAGGUGGUUCAUUAAGUCUGAUGUAAAAGGCACGGGCUCAACUCGUGUAUCGCAUUGGAUACUGGUGGACUGGAGUGCAGUAGAGACAAGCGGAAUUCCCAGUGUAGCGGUGAAAUGCGUAGAUAUUGGGAAGAACACCGGUGGCGCAAGCGGCUUGUUGGGCUGUAACUGACGCUGAGGAACGAAAGCUAGGGGAGCAAAUGGGAUUAGAUACCCCAGUAGUCCUAGCUGUAAACGAUGGAUACUAGGCGUAUCGGGUAUCGACCCCUGAUGUGCCGCAGCAAACGCGAUAAGUAUCCCGCCUGAGUAGUACGGCCGCAAGGUUG